rnacentral:rRNA from 1 species
AACGAACGCUGGCGGCAGGCCUAAUACAUGCAAGUCGAACGCUCCAGCAAUGGAGAGUGGCAGACGGGUGAGUAACGCGUGGGAACCUUCCCAGUGGUACGGAAUAGCUCAGGGAAACUUGAGGUAAUACCGUAUACGCCCCAAGGGGGAAAGAUUUAUCGCCAUUGGAUGGGCCCGCGUCGGAUUAGCUAGUUGGUGGGGUAAUGGCCUACCAAGGCGACGAUCCGUAGCUGGUCUGAGAGGAUGAUCAGCCACACUGGGACUGAGACACGGCCCAGACUCCUACGGGAGGCAGCAGUAGGGAAUAUUGGACAAUGGGCGAAAGCCUGAUCCAGCCAUGCCGCGUGAGUGACGAAGGCCUUCGGGUUGUAAAGCUCUUUUGGCGGGGACGAUAAUGACGGUACCCGCAGAAUAAGCUCCGGCUAACUUCGUGCCAGCCGCCGCAGUAAUAC